rnacentral:rRNA from 1 species
AGAGGUGGGAUGACGUCAAGUCAUCAUGGCCCCUAUGUCCAGGGCCACACACGUGCUACAAUGGGCGAUACAGAGUGACGCGAAGCCGCGAGGUGGAGCAAAUCGCAGAAAAUCGCUCUCAGCUCGGAUUGGAGUCUGAAACCCGACUCCAUGAAGGUGGAAUCGCUAGUAAUCGCGCAUCAGCAUGGCGCGGUGAAUACGUUCCCGGGCCUU